rnacentral:rRNA from 1 species
CAGCCGCCGCGGUAAAACGGAGGGUGCAAGCGUUAAUCGGAAUUACUGGGCGUAAAGCGUGCGUAGGCGGUUCGUUAAGUCUGUUGUGAAAGCCCCGGGCUCAACCUGGGAAUGGCAAUGGAUACUGGCGAGCUAGAGUGUGUCAGAGGAUGGUGGAAUUCCCGGUGUAGCGGUGAAAUGCGUAGAGAUCGGGAGGAACAUCAGUGGCGAAGGCGGCCAUCUGGGACAACACUGACGCUGAGGCACGAAAGCGUGGGGAGCAAACAGGAUUAGAUACCCCUGUAGUCCCUGUCUCUUAUAC